UGAUUUUUAUAGCUGUAGCUAGGGUAGAGGUUGCCAAAACAGUCCUUCAGCUUUAGUCAGCUGUUUGCCAAGCAGGCUUCUCGCUGUCGUGGGCUGGAAGAGCAUGUUGUAGCUCUGGGUCACUCCGCACCGACAUUGUCAGCACUUCCUUGCUGCCCUGCUUGAAAUGCCGGCUGUUCCCAGAGCCUGCAGAAAUCUUCCCUUCCUGGGGGCAGCUUGGCUGGUAUUUAUUAGUAUGUGAUCUCACGUUGCUAGCCAAGAUGCAAAAUGCAAUGGGAAGCCAGCUGCCAGGUCCUCUCCUCAGUAAUGAUCUUUGUGAGAGGUUCCAGGUUAAUGCAUCAGUGUGGACGGAGAACCAGGGACCAGGUCCCUAAGAAAGGAGUAUGACAUUUGGACUGGCAUUCAGCAUUACAAGACCCGGGGCUAUUCCUCGUGGCUGUCUAAGACCAGCUCAGAGGCAUGGACACAGAGAUGGUGCCCAAGCAGCUGGCAGAUGGACCUGGUGUGGUUUAAUUGCACUGCUAAUAUGUCCUUUCCAACUAUGAAUCACCACAUUUACAAGCAAGCAUGUUGGCCGGUACAGAAAGAAUACAGCUGUGACAUUCCAUUCCAUAUUCCCUAGGAAAAUAUGCUUACAAUAUGAAUACGACAUAGCGGAGAUGUACUUUAUGCACGAUAGCUCAUGGGAGAUAUCACUGGAAAGGUUCUGAUUUACUGAAUGUGAUUAUCCAGUUUGUAUGCCUGUAUCAUUUCUGUAUUUGAAGUUAGGAAUAUUAACUAUGUAUCUGUAUUUAAAAUGUGCUACUUUGGGUGUCACCCCCAACCAGCCCUUCAGGUACAACAAUGGAAAAGCCAGACAGGGCUAAUAGGCCAUUAGCAGAGACAAUGGACUGUGAAAGCGCUUAGCCUUCCUGUGGACGCUGGAGACAGCCCAUGAGCCAUGGCUGCCACAGUCCUGCAGAGACAUGGGUCCGAGUCACCUGGGGCUGGAUACCUCUCCUCCCCUUUUGGAAUGCCAGUGGUUUUCCACUAGAAGACAAAGGGUUCCCUGCCUUACACAAGAGCUAUAUAAGGCAGGAGAGUGACAUCAUCAUGGUUCUCCUCUGUCUCCCCACUCGAAGAGACACAGAAAAAGACCUGGAAGCAAGAACUGAACAGGGCGGAAGAAGGGUUGAACCCAAGCUGGAAGGGCAUCUAGCUUGUGAGUCUCAAGAGGGAGACCAGUGUAGCUGCCUUUCAAGACUUUCUGUAAUCUGCCUGUAACAAUAUCUAGGGUGAGACAUACUGUUUGUUACCAAUUUCUUUGGUGAAACUAGCUUCAUUUGCAUGUUUGGUUUCAUUUGCUCAGUAAUCUGGUUUGUUCUGUUUGAUUCCCCUUUUACCACUUAACAUCUGCCUUUUGUAGUUAAUACAGUUUGUUUUGUUUAUAAUGUAA